rnacentral:lncRNA from 10 species
CAUGGGCUGAAGGCUUUUGAAAUCAAAUCACAGUAGAAUUGCCUGAAGGAAGUGAGAGUGUAUAGCCUGAUGCCGAGAAGAAAAAGCCUGGGGGUAACAUACAGGGAGGCCCAGCAAGCAGAUUUGAGAGAUUGUGCUCUGUACUUGUGCAAUCUAAUUGUGUCCUGUUAGAAAGGAGAUGUCCUGGGAAACUCAGAUUAAGAGGACAGAAGCCCAAAACUAAGCUGUACAGUCAAAAACGUCUAGCUGUUUCUUGUAGCAGAUUGUGCCAGUAAGCGUCACUGAAGAGUAAUUUCAAGGGCUGGUGAAAAUAUAAGAUAAAACACUGAUUACAGGAUGACAGGUUUUCUCUGCUCAACAAUCUUUGAAUUAUUCAGAAAACUUUGCUUCCAGAGUGGUAUAUUAAUAAUACACCUAAGCAAAUAUUUUGUUGCUUAAGCUGAAAGGCAUUUUCUCCUUGAAGGGAAAGCUUCUGAAGAUGGCAGUAGAUUAACAUACCCAAAUAUCUUGAUAUCCUCAAUAGGAAGAAAGUCAAGUUAAGUUUCCUGAUCUAAAGAGUCCAGGAAAUUAAAUUCUCUCUAUGUUCUGUUUCUGAAGUACUGCAGAAACUGCUCAAGAUGGAAGGAUACCAGAGAAGAAAAACAUUGCUCAAUGUUUAAAACUUAUUUUAUUUUUUGAAAAAAGAAACAUAAUAACUUAGUCCAAAAUCAAACAACAUAAAAAGUAUACAUUGAAAAGUUUAUCCUCACCCUAUCUACUUCCAGCAAUUUCCUUCCAAUUCUAUCUGUAGUAUUUUUUCAUUUUUCUUCUUGUUUUUUUUAAAUAAAAUAAAAUAAAAUAAUAAUGCACACU